rnacentral:rRNA from 1 species
AACUAACAAGGAUUCCCCUAGUAACGGCGAGUGAAGAGGGAAAAGCUCAAAUUUAAAAGCUGUUGUCUUUCAGGCAACCGCAUUGUAAUCUCAAGAAGUGUUUUCGAUUGUAGCCUGCGUAUAAGUACCUUGGAAUAGGUUGGCAUAGAGGGUGAAACUCCCGUCUUUGAUGCAGAUUACUAUGAUCAUGUGAUACACUUUCUAAGAGUCGAGUUGUUUGGGAAUGCAGCUCAAAAUGGGUGGUAAAUUCCAUCUAAAGCUAAAUAUUGGCCUGAGACCGAUAGCGAACAAGUACCGUGAGGGAAAGAUGAAAAGCACUUUGGAAAGAGAGUCAAACAGAACGUGAAAUUGCUGAAAGGGAAGCGUUUGAAGUUAGUCUGAUAGGAGUUGUUCAAUUGUUACUUUGGUUUCAAUGUAUGCAACUUUUUAUCGGUCAACAUCAAUUUUGAUUGAUGGAUAAAGGUAAUAGGAAUGUGGCUACAAUUUGUAGUGUUAUAGCCUAUUAUCAUAAACAUUGAUUGAGAUUGAGGACGGCAGUGUACCUUUUAGGAAGGUGUUCGCACCUAUUACACUAAGGAUGUUGACAAAAUAGCUUUAAGCGACCCGUCUUGAAACACGGACCAAGGAGUCUAACAUAUCUGCGAGUAUUUGAGUGACAAACUCGAAUGCGUAAUGAAAGUGAAUGUAGGUGUGAAGCGUAAGCUGCAACAUCGACCGAUCUGGAAUUUUUAUAAUGAUGGAUUUGAGUAAGAGCAUAUAUGUUGGGACCCGAAAGAUGGUGAACUAUGCCUGAAUAGGGUGAAGCCAGAGGAAACUCUGGUGGAGGCUCGUAGCGGUUCUGACGUGCAAAUCGAUCGUCAAAUUUGGGUAUAGGGGCGAAAGACUAAUCGAACCAUCUAGUAG